rnacentral:sRNA from 1 species
UUGUGAAAUACUUAAGGAAAGACAUAAUUUAGAGGUUCCACCAAAAAAAAAAUAAAAAAAGACACUUAACUUCACGGGUUUAAGGUUAAACGAGGUAUGUGAACCCUUGCUUACUAAGCGGGUGUUUUUUCGGAUUUUAUUACGAGCAUUGUUAACAGUUCAUUAAUUGAGUUUUAAGCCCUGAAAUGGAAAGGAAAGGAAAUACCAAUCACAUUAUUUGAUUUAAAAAAAAAAUCAAUAUCAUGUCAGUUCUAAUGGUUUGGGUGGCUUUGUUCCUAAAUAUUCAUUACCCAUUAUCAUGGAUAUAUAGAUAAUUACCCUGCUCCUCAGUACACUGUGGCCUGCUGAUUUUCAAUAUGUAUCGAUUUUGGCUUUGCUUCUUUUUUGCUGUCAGUUUAUGGCCAACACAAAGCCCCCCCUAACACAGAAAAUUUAAAGAAACUUUAAACAAAGUAUGCACACCAACAAAACAGACGAAAAUAGAUAAAUAAAUAAACCCCGCAGACUGUUUAAUAAGAAUUUUUUGACACUUGAAACGAUUACUAAUCUCAAACAUGGUUUACAAUCCAAUGCGAAAGCCAAAUGGCAGUAAGUACUCUUUGGAGUUUUGCACCAAUUACUUGUGUAUAACACCACCACCACCACCUCCACCGCCGCCACCAUUAACUAAUUGAUUUUUUUUUUUAAGAGCAACAUACAUAUACAGGUGUUACUUUAACGAUCUUUAUCAAUGUUGAGUCACUUUUUCGAAGUUUUAUGAUGAAAUUCGGAAAAUAUAUUCAA